ACUGCGAGGGAGAGAGGGUGGGGGGUGUCUCAGAGGGACGCCCCCUGCCAGCCCCUCCCCUCCAAGUCCCGUCUGCACCUUAGGGACCAGAAUCGCUGGGCUGGCUUUGGGGAGCUGAUGCCUUAAAGAAGAUAAGAGCCAGCCCCAAGUCCUGCCAGGAAUGCUAUUAUCUUUAUCCGGCCUGGGGUGACCCGAGGGCAUCUUUUAAAAGAUUCUGGCAGCAGCUAGGAAGGAAAAAGGCUGCCCUAGUGCUGGUGGAGAUCCUCAACCCGGGGCCACUCCGGGUGGGGUGAGGAGGUCACAGGAGGUCCCAGAGUACAAAGUCCAGCCACGGAGAGCCCCUGAGUCUGCACCUCCCACAACCCUGGGUGAGCCAGCGGCUCCAGCCCUUCUCCCUGAAGCGAGGGGACCGGUCCUGAAGCGCGGUCCAGGGGUCCUCAGCCCAGAGCUGAGCCGACACCGAGCUCCAGUGACGAUUAAUACCCACCCCUGGGCGCCUGGACUGCGGGGAAGAGCAAGCCGCCUCUACUCCCUCAAAGAUGGAUUUCUAACAACAUCAUCUCACCCCUCCCCACCGCCCCCCACAGCAGCCAGGCCGACUUUUCAAAUAAUUAAUAUUUCUUCGAUAAAGUUACAAUAAUAACAUAUGCACAAGGGCAGAGUUAGACCACACAGAAUUCCACCUUCCCGGGUCUCCAUUAGUCCUAGUCCUCAAAGGUUAACUAAUUUUGAUCUUUUCUAUAUUUGUUUCUAUUACUUUAACCAUGUAAGGCCAAAUAAAAAGAUAAUGCUUCUA